AGGGGGUUGUGGUAAAUGCGAAAAGGGGUUACAGGCGUGUUGUAGUUGAGUCCACUUCAAAAAACAUGGUGUACAUAUCGUCUCAAAAUGGUUUUUACUGUGAGAAACUUGAUUUUGAUCAAUACUUAGUGUAAAUUACUAAGUACACAAGUACUAAAAGUUUCUGAUGAUUUUGAAUUAGUAUUUUUCUCAGUGCACCCGUUUUUUUUGAGCCCGCAUGCUGACAGAAACUUGUGCCCCGUUUUGUUUGUUCUCACUUCUGAAAAGGUGGCUAGACUUAUGGAAGGAUGCGAGUAUCUAUAUCCCUCUUCAUUUCCCGGUGCUAAAUGAACUUUAAAUCUAUGCCUCACUCGAAAACCCUUUAAAUGAAACAAACUUCAGCCUUUUAAACCUAUAAAAACCCUCUAAAAAAACACUUUUAAAGAGCACCCAAACCAACAUUGACUUUCUUGCCGCCUGCACAACCAGAAGAAGUGCAAGAAACCGCAAUAAUCAAAUCACUUGAACAACAGAUAUCCGACUUUUUCCUACAUUUUCCCUUAAUGCCCAGGAAAAAAUAUCAGGAAAUGGCUUUAGACUUGAGUCCAAGAACGGAUAGGAAGAAACAACUGAGCAUUGUAUCGAGAAAUUGAAUCACUCUCUGCUGCGAAUUUCAUUUUUCUCGCUUUCUCUGCCAUUUUGAAAACCAUCUUUGCAUAGUGGAAAGUCUAUUGGAAUUGGUUCAAUAAAGAUAGUCAGAUUGUGGGAGUAUCAGUAAGUUUAAAGUGUCUUUGGCUGUAAAUGUUAUCUGCCCUUACAUUUCCAUAAUGUGAGUAAAUCAUUAGUGCCCAUCUAAAUUGCAGUGCAGCCUAAGCAAUUGUUUCAAUAACUGCUCUUAGCUCAUGUACUGCCCACUGUAAGUUGUGUGCUGCCCAAGGACUCGCAGGAUCUCCACCCUUUGCUCCUGGCUAAGCGCACAUUUUAGCAUUUCGCAGUGGUGCCAGUGUCCUUUUGGUGUCCUUGUCGCCUUCGUAGCCUCCGUCGCCUUCAUCGCCGAUGCGGUCCAUUGAAGUUUAUUGCUGAGAAAAUGCAAACCUAUAUAUUGCCGCAUUUGCAGCAUUUCAACUGCUGCUACUGUUUCUGCUGCCACUCGGAGUCCCCACACUUCUUCUGGGCAGCAAAUUAGUUUCGGUUUCCAUUCGCCUGCUGUUUGCCCUCCAGUUGCCAACAGUCCGACGGAUUGGUCCGCUUGGCUGGACCCAGCUGCACUCAGAAAAAAACCAAGAAUCUUCUAAGAGUUUAGAGUCAAGUCACAACACUUUUCCUUUAAUCUAAGCUCCAGUCUUGCAGUGAAUAUCCAUAGAAAGUUUUCCCAAACGAACAUUGAUUUUUCCGAGUGUGCUAAGCUUGACUUGUGCAAAUAUUCGACCGGCAGUCAUUAGUAAAAUUUUGACGGCAACUCAAUUCCGAAGGGGAUUAGGAUGCUGGACGAGCAGUUUGGAUCAAGUUGAGCGAGCUCCUGGCAUCUGGAUACUUGGCUCGCCUGGUGUUGGUUUGUUUAUGAAGCCAUAUGUUGCGAUAUCGAUGGCAGCAAACUUCGGCAGUGUCAGCCAUACAAAUGAGUCCCAGAAGAGUGUUUUUUGGGCCAUAUGGGGAAGAUCAAUACGGUUGGGAGGAGUGUAUGAGGCAUGUUAAUCAUGAAUCACUUCAUUAAUCAUUCCUGUGAGUGCUGCUAUCGAGUAACUUGUACAUAUGAGACUUCAAAUCAAGUACACUUUGCUACGACAUGCAAUGGAUUUAGCUCCUUCAGCUUCUGCCUUUCAAAUCCCCUGACAGAACUGAGAAUAAGUUCCUAUUUCCCUUGAUGUGAAUCCCGUCUUGCAUAGUUGGGUAAUAUGUUCAUUAUGAAAUUUGCAUCAAUAAUUUGCAUUUCCCAGCUACUUGACCCUGACAUCCGGAAGGAAUUCGUAUCCCACUGCUGGGGGGAUAAGGAUAACUUCAAGCGGGACUUCGCUCGGAGCUGGAAAUCUCAUUAAAGCCAACGAAGCAUGUUCACUCCCCAGGGGGCAAAUCGGAGGGGACUCGAACAACCUUAAGCUGCCAUCAGCAAAGAUUUUGUUGCACAGCUCCUUUCACUACCGCAACACUACAGCAAGGGGAAGGGCAGCCAAAUGCAAUUGCCAACAAGUGGGGUGCAAAAUAAAUUCCAGAUUAAAUAUUGA